rnacentral:rRNA from 2 species
AGCCUUCCGUAGGGUAACCUGCGGAGGGAUCAUUAAUGAGUUACUAAACUCCAAAACCCUUUGUGAACCUUUUACCGUCGUUUCCUCGGCGCGUGCUGCUGCUACCUGGAGCUACCCUGGAAGGCACCUACUGUAGUGGUUGUCUGCCAAGAGCUAUCAUGUCAGGCACCUACCUCUGUAGUGGUUGUCUGCCAUGAGCUGUCUUGGCAGGCACCUACCCUAUGGUGGUUGUCUGCUAAGAGUUAUCCUAGCAGGCACCUACCCUGUAGUAGCUGUCUACCCUGGAGCUACCCUGUAGCCGCGUGAAAGCCCGCCGAAGGACCGUUAAACUCUUGCUUCUACAACUGUAUCUCUGAACACGUAACUGAAAUAAGUUAAAACUUUCAACAACGGAUCUCUUGGUUCUGGCAUCGAUGAAGAACGCAGCGAAAUGCGAUAAGUAAUGUGAAUUGCAGAAUUCAGUGAAUCAUCGAAUCUUUGAACGCACAUUGCGCCCAUUAGUAUUCUAGUGGGCAUGCCUAUUCGAGCGUCAUUUCAACCCUUAAGCCCUGUUGCUUAGUGUUGGGAGUCUACGGCUUCGGCGUAGUUCCUGAAAAUCAGUGGCGGAGUUAGGGUACACUCUCAGCGUAGUAAUAUCUCUCGCUCGUGUGGUGGCCCUGGCUGCUGGCCGUAAAACCCCCUAUUUUCUAGUGGUUGACCUCGGAUUAGGUAGGAAUACCCGCUGAACUUAAGCAUAUCAAUAUGCCGGAGGAAAAAAAAA